GCAGAGCGACUCCUACGGGAGGCGAGCAGUGGGGAAGUAUUGCACAAUGGGCGCAAGCCUGAUGCAGCCAUGCCGCGUGUAUGAAGAAGGCCUUCGGGUUGUAAAGUACUUUCAGUCAGUGAGGAAGGUGGAGUAUGUUAAUAGCAUAUUCAUUUGACGUUAGCUGCAGAAGAAGCACCGGCUAACUCCGUGCCAGCAGCCGCGGUAAUACGGAGGGUGCGAGCGUUAAUCGGAAUUACUGGGCGUAAAGCGCAUGCAGGUGGUUUGUUAAGUCAGAUGUGAAAGCCCGGGGCUCAACCUCGGAAUUGCAUUUGAAACUGGCAAACUAGAGUACUGUAGAGGGGGGUAGAAUUUCAGGUGUAGCGGUGAAAUGCGUAGAGAUCUGAAGGAAUACCGGUGGCGAAGGCGGCCCCCCUGGACAGAUACUGACACUCAGAUGCGAAAGCGUGGGGAGCAAACAGGAUUAGAUACCCUGGUAG
rnacentral:rRNA from 1 species